rnacentral:rRNA from 1 species
UACAGAGGGGGCAAGCGUUGUCCGGAAUCAUUGGGCGUAAAGAGCGUGUAGGCGGCCAAUUAAGUCCUGCGUGAAAUUUCGGAGCUUAACUCCGAAACUGCAUUCGAUACUGCGGUGCUUGAGGACUGGAGAGGAGACUGGAAUUCUCGGUGUAGCGGUGAAAUGCGUAGAUAUCGAGAGGAACACCUGCGGCGAAGGCGGGUUGCUGGGCUGAUACUGACGCUGAGGCGCGAAAGCCAGGGGAGCGAACGGG